UAGCCUUUUGACUCCUAACUGUUGCCCAC
rnacentral:sRNA from 1 species